rnacentral:rRNA from 1 species
UACGUAGGCAGCGAGCGUUGUUCGGAGUUACUGGGCGUAAAGGGUGUGUAGGCGGUUGUUUAAGUUUGGUGUGAAAUCUCCCGGCUCAACUGGGAGGGUGCGCCGAAUACUGAAUGACUUGGAGUGCGGGAGAGGAAAGUGGAAUUCCUGGUGUAGCGGUGAAAUGCGUAGAUAUCAGGAGGAACACCGGUGGUGUAGACGGCUUUCUGGACCGUAACUGACGCUGAGGCGCGAAAGCCAGGGGAGCAAACGGG